GUGGGGAAUAUUGGACAAUGGGCGAAAGCCUGAUCCAGCCAUGCCGCGUGUGUGAAGAAGGUCUUCGGAUUGUAAAGCACUUUAAGUUGGGAGGAAGGGCAGUAAGUUAAUACCUUGCUGUUUUGACGUUACCGACAGAAUAAGCACCGGCUAACUUCGUGCCAGCAGCCGCGGUAAUACGAAGGGUGCAAGCGUUAAUCGGAAUUACUGGGCGUAAAGCGCGCGUAGGUGGUUUUGUAAGUUGGAGGUGAAAUCCCCGGGCUCAACCUGGGAACGGCCUCCAAAACUGCAGGACUAGAGUACGGUAGAGGGUAGUGGAAUUUCCUGUGUAGCGGUGAAAUGCGUAGAUAUAGGAAGGAACACCAGUGGCGAAGGCGACUACCUGGACUGAUACUGACACUGAGGUGCGAAAGCGUGGGGAGCAAACAGGAUUAGAAACCCUGGUAGUCC
rnacentral:rRNA from 1 species